GCAGGUGCUCCACCGAGAACUGGCGCCCGAGGUCCCUGCGGGGAGGGCCGGCCAAUCCGUGAUCCUGGGGCACCGAUCUCAGACCGCGGCACGUUGAGCCCCAUCCCAUCGCAGCCCCUCCCUUAAGUCCCUGCUGGGUCGCGUUUCUGUUUUUCUUCCUGGAUCCGCUCGGCAUACCACAUACUGUACAGUCUAUUUCUCCUGCUUAUCAUUUUCUCCCACAGUGAAUUUGUAGAUCCACAAGGGCAUGGAUUUGCCUCCUUACGCUAGUAUCGUCUGUGCCUGAAACAACGCAAGGCGGAGUAAUGCCCAGGGAAUGUGUUGUGGGGCGAAAGAAUGAAUGAAUGCAUGCCAUAAGGAAUAUCAAGUCGGGUAGGGGCUACCAAUUAGCGAGGGCCACUUCAAGAAGGUGACCUUUGAUCUGAAAUCUGCAGGACGAAGAGAGGGAGAACUGAGAUGAGGGUGCCCAGGUAGAGGAUGCAGCAUGUGCAAGGGCCCGGAGGUGGCAGGGUAACUGAGCCGGAAAGCCCUGGAGGAGGACGGGACAGAAAUUUGGCCUGCUUUGGAGGAAAAAACUCCCUAUUUGCCAGAGGGCAGCAGGAUUGGGCAAAUGUCCCAUCUGAUAACAAGGAGCGGGAAGGAAGCGCUCCAUGACCACAGACCUUCCACUUGGGCACCAAAAUGAAUGAAAUUGGUAAAAUGUCAGGAGGUCGGUGACUCACUGUCAAAUGGUUCAUCACCCCCCCCACACACACACACACAGAUCCACAGAUCCACGCACUCACACACAUACAGAAAAAUGCCACAAUUGCUGUGGACUUCAUUAUACACUUCUUUCAAGUUUUUGCUGAGUUGGAUUUUUUUUUUUUUUUUUUAAUGUUGGGGAUGGAACCCAGGAUCUCAUAUGCUAGGUGAUCACUCUGCCCCUGAGCAACACAUUCAGGUCCUGAAUUUUUUUUCUUUCAUGAGAAAAAGAAAGGGCUCCUCCCUAGCACUGCAAAAAAAAAAAAAAAAGUUGGGGUUAAAAAAGAAUGAAAGAGCUGGGCGUAGUGGUGCAUGCCUGUAAUCCCAGCCACUUGGGAGGCUGAGGCUGGAGGAUCACAAGUUCAAGCCCAGUCUCUGCAACUUAGUGAGGCCCUGUGUCCACAUAAAAACUAAAAAGGUCUGGGGAUGUAGCUUAAUGGUAGAGGGAUCCUAGGUUCAAUUCCCAGUACCAAAAAAAUAAAAUAAAAUUAAAAAUGAAAGUACCUCUCAUUGCAGAAAAGGAGCAAGUUCUAAAAUAGCCACUACUGGGGCUCUCCUUGCAAAGCUUGAAUCAGCUCCCUCUCCCGAGUUCUCACACCCUGCAAGGCUCCCAGCCACUGAGGUCUAUCCAUCCUUCAGAGGGCUCUACUCCACCCACCUCUCACCCUGGGAAUGACUCAGCCUCCCUGAACUGAACUGGCUGUCCUUUCUCCUGGCUUUAUGUCUGUGCUGGGCCCUCUGCCUGCAAAGCCUGCUUUUGGGACCGUGCCCACCAUCCUCUUACAUGCCUGGGGAUAUUUUUAAAGAUACUUCCUCCAAUGCAUUCUCUGACUCCUGGAUUUCAGUGAGGUUUCCAUUGCAUUUCCACUUGGGGGCCUCCCUUUGUCCUCCAGAACGCUCCUGCAAUUUGUCAUUUUGUAUCCAUCUGAGUCUUUGUUUCACAUCUGAUUUCCCCACUUCACCCGCCAGCUCCCGGGGUGCGAUGGGAGUGGGAAUGGACACCACUUUCUGUACCCCUAAUUUCUAGGGCACGGAUUGGCACAUGGGGCUGUUCACUCCCCCAGGGAGAAGGGACAAAUCACUAAGCAAAUGCCUCAGUUCUGAUGGUGAUGCCUCCUCCAGGAAGCCCUCCCAGACCUUCCUGUCCCGCCUUACCUCCUCAGAUCAUCCUCGAAGGGCAGGAAGAGCCACUUCUUGGGCAUGUCCUUGAGGAACAGCUCCUGCUGCUCUUCUGUGGGAUCCUGCGACACGUACACCAGGGCCAGCUGGGCCGCCCGCAGCACAUAGAACUCAUCUGUGAGCCUCACAAAGAAGUCCUUGAUGAUGGGCACGAAGGCCUGACACUUGGGACAAGCCGCAGCGCCAAAGAACAGCAGCACCAGACGGUUCUCCAGCCUGCGGCUGACCUCGGCCUCUGUGUCCAGCUCAUCCUGGUCACUGUUAUUGCAGAUCAGAACGCGCCCAGAGAACAGGGAGACCAUGGUAGCCCCAACUGGGUGCUGGGGACAGGGAGAGAGAUCCCCACGUGGUGUGGCCUAGACCUGCUGUCUGGUUCCUCUCCCAGGAAUAGAGAUCUCUAGGAAGCCAGUUUAGGACCUCGCUAAUCUGCUCAAUCUUGACCUAGUUCUGCAGGGCCUCCAAGGGCAGGGGUUGGUGCGGGGAGAGCGCCCUCGUGUGCCUGAAAACACAUUGCAGAAAAACUAAACUGGGGUGUGGGGGUGUAGCUCAGCCGUAGAGCACUUAUCCAGCAUUCUCUGCUCCAAAUUGAGAGAGACGGACUGAGAAAAUGAGAAAGAGAAGAGAAAACCCCGGAGAGAAGACAGCCCAGUGAAGACCAAGGCAGAGACUGGAGUGAUGCGGCCACAAACCAAGGGACCCUGGGAACCACCAACAGCUGGAAGCCAGAAGAACUCCUUGAAGCCUCCAGAGGGCGCUCUGCUGCCGUGACUUCAGACCUCUAGAGCUGCCAGAUAUAAUAAAGGUUUCUGUGCCCCUA